AGAGUUUGUAGUCCUGGCUCAGGAUGAACGUUGGCGGCGAUGCUUAACACAUGCAAGUCGAACGGGAAGUGGUGUUUCUAGUGGCGAAUGGGUGAGUAACGCGUAAGAACCUGCCCUUGGGAGGGGAACGAACGAACUGGAAACGGUUGCCUAAUACCCCGUAGGCUGAGGAGCAAAAGGAGAAAUCCACCCAUGGAGGGGCUCACGUCUAAUUUGCUAGUUGGUGAGGUAAUAGCUUACCAAGGCGAUGAUCAGUAGCUGGCCCUAGAGGAUGAUCAGCCACACUAGGACUGAGGCACGGCCGAGACUCCUACGGGAGGCAGCAGUGGGGAAUUUUCUGCAACGGGCGAAAGCCUGAUGGAGCAAUGCCGCGUGGAGGUAGAAGGCCUACGGGUCAUCAACUUCUUCUCUCAGAGAAGAAACAAUGACGGUAUCCGAGGAAUAAGCAUCGGCUAACUCUGUG
rnacentral:rRNA from 1 species